rnacentral:lncRNA from 1 species
CAGUUUCAGCAGUAAUAUCAUCUUGUGAGAGGGAGACAUUGCAACCAUAAACUCUAUGCAGAAGCUAUAUGCCUAUUAUAAAAACAAUACUAAUAAAAAAUAGAAGUAUAUUUUACAUUAAUUUUACAUUUUUAAUAUGCAGUCAACUUGCAUCUAUUUCUAACGGCAGAUUUAAAUUUUAGUUAAGAAGUUAAUAGUGAGCCUAUGAACUGUGAAGGCAUUUCUCUAAAAAGAUAAACUAAAUGGUCUAGGUCAUUUUCCAAGAAGCAAAUGACUUAAAAUAAAACUUAAAGCAGUGUUUUCCAAACUGAAAGGAGUACCUUGCUAGUAGGUAAUGAAAUGAGCAAAUUAAAUAUAAUUUUUUUUUUUAAUUUAUGAUAGUCACAGAGAGAGAGAGAGAGAGAGAGGCAGAGACACAGGCAGAGGGAGAAGCAGGCUCCAUGCACCGGGAGCCUGAUGUGGGAUUCGAUCCCGGGUCUCCAGGAUCGCGCCCUGGGCCAAAGGCAGGCGCCAAACCGCUGUGCCACCCAGGGAUCCCUAAAUAUAAUUUUUAAAAAUUAUAUUAGAAAACACUACAGCUUUAAAAUAUUUAUGCACAAAUAUAGUAUGUACAUAUCUGUUUAUCGAGUCAUGAAAUAAAGUAUAUAUCUGUGAGUCAUAGACAUUGAAAGUCUGAGUAACACAGAUUGAAAAUAUGUGCUAACUAGUUUUUCUUGGACUUCAUUCUCCACUUGACCAACAGAUUUAAUCAGGUCAAUUAAUUGUGAUUUGGUACAAUAGCCAAGAAAUAUUUGUUUACUUGUUUAUAAAUGUAAAACAAGUAGGCCAAUACCUCUAGGUUCUCGUCAUUGGUGGGGCUCAUAGCUGAGACAAAGUACAAUUUUCUUUAUCAUGUUAGCCCUUAAAUUGUGGAUGUCUUAGGGAAGAAGCAUAAACCUUUUGGGGGAAAAAAAUCCUGCCUUAAUGUUGACUUAAAUUUCAAAUUGCUAUGUAAAUAAGAUUGAAGCAUAAACACAUAAAAUUUAUAAAUCCAAUUAUUUAGAAGCUUUGAAAGCAGAACAACAGAAAUUUUAACCAUAAGAAAAUUAGGGGCAUAGAUUUAUUUAGAUUUAAUUUUAAUUGUAAACACAGUCAAAAUAACAUUGUCCUUAUUUUUCCCCGAGAAUUGUUGGCAUUUCAAAGCCAUUAUGUAAUUUUGCCAACGUUUUGCUAUCAACUAUACACAGUAAAAAAAGAAAAGAAAAAA